rnacentral:rRNA from 1 species
UGGGGAAUUUUGGACAAUGGGGGAAACCCUGAUCCAGCCAUCCCGCGUGUGCGAAGAAGGCCUUCGGGUUGUAAAGCACUUUUGGCAGGAAAGAAACGUCAUGGGUUAAUACCCCGUGAAACUGACGGUACCUGCAGAAUAAGCACCGGCUAACUACGUGCCAGCAGCCGCGGUAAUACGUAGGGUGCAAGCGUUAAUCGGAAUUACUGGGCGUAAAGCGUGCGCAGGCGGUUCGGAAAGAAAGAUGUGAAAUCCCAGAGCUCAACUUUGGAACUGCAUUUUUAACUGCCAUGCUUGAGUGUGUCAGAGGGAGGUGGAAUUCCGCGUGUAGCAGUGAAAUGCGUAGAUAUGCGGAGGAACACCGAUGGCGAAGGCAGCCUCCUGGGAUAACACUGACGCUCAUGCACGAAAGCGUGGGGAGCAAACAGG